UACGGAGGGGGCUAGCGUUGUUCGGAAUUACUGGGCGUAAAGCGCGCGUAGGCGGAUCUGCAAGUCGGGGGUGAAAUCCCGAGGCUCAACCUCGGAACUGCCUUCGAUACUGGCGAUCUCGAGUUCGGGAGAGGUGAGUGGAACUGCGAGUGUAGAGGUGAAAUUCGUAGAUAUUCGCAAGAACACCAGUGGCGAAGGCGGCUCACUGGCCCGAUACUGACGCUGAGGUGCGAAAGCGUGGGGAGCAAACAGG
rnacentral:rRNA from 1 species